rnacentral:tRNA from 2 species
UGGUGUGGCUCAAUGGUAGAGCAGCUGACUUGUAAUCAGCAGGUUGAAGGUUCGAUUCCUUUCACC